rnacentral:rRNA from 1 species
UACAGAGGUCCCGAGCGUUGUUCGGAUUCACUGGGCGUAAAGGGUGCGUAGGUGGCGAGGUAAGUCGGAUGUGAAAGCUCGGAGCUCAACUCCGAAAUGGCAUUGGAAACUACCUUGCUCGAGGGUUGGAGGGGGGACUGGAAUACUUGGUGUAGCAGUGAAAUGCGUAGAUAUCAGGAAGAACACCCGUGGCGAAGGCGGUUCUCUGGGACGGUACUGACGCUGAGACGCGAAAGCGUGGGGAGCGAACAGG